rnacentral:rRNA from 1 species
GACGAACGCUGGCGGCGUGCUUAACACAUGCAAGUCGAACGGUGAACCUCUUCGUAGGGGAUCAGUGGCGAACGGGUGAGUAACACGUGGCCAACCUGCCCCCGGCUCUGGGAUAACUCCAAGAAAUUGGGGCUAAUACCGGAUGUUCACCGCUUCCCGCAUGGGUGGUGGUGAAAAGGGUUUCCGGCUGGGGAUGGGCCCGCGGCCUAUCAGCUUGUUGGUGGGGUAGUGGCCUCCCAAGGGGAAGACGGGUAGCCGGCCUGGGAGGGUGACCGGCCACACUGGGACUGAGAGACGGCCCAGACUCGUACGGGAGGCAGCAGUGGGGAAUAUUGCGCAAUGGGCGGAAGCCUGACGAAGAGACGCCGCGUGGGGGAUGAAGGCCUUGGGGUUGUAAACCUCUUUAAGCAGGGACGAAGCGGAAGUGACGGUACCUGCAGAAGAAGCACCGGCCAACUACGUG